AACGAACGCUGGCGGCAUGCCUAACACAUGCAAGUCGAACGAGACCUUCGGGUCUGGUGGCGCACGGGUGCGUAACGCGUGGGAACCUGCCCUUGGGUUCGGCAGAACUCCCCGAAAGGGGUGCUAAUACCGGAUAAUGUCUUCCGACCAAAGAUUUAUCGCCUUUGGAUGGGCCCGCGUUGGAUUAGCUAGUUGGUAGGGUAAAAGCCUAUCAAGGCGACGAUCCGUAACUGGUCUGAGAGGAUGAGCAGCCACACUGGGACUGAGACACGGCCCAGAAUCCUGCGGGAGGCAGCAGUGGGGAAUAUUGGAAAAUGGGCGAAAGCCUGAUGCAGCUAUGCCGCGUGAGUGAUGAAGGCCUUAGGGUUGUAAAGCUCUUUUACACGGGAUGAUAAUGACAGUACCGGGAGAAUAAGCUCCGGCUAACUCCGUG
rnacentral:rRNA from 1 species